rnacentral:rRNA from 1 species
AGAUUGAACGCUGGCGGAAUGCUUUACACAUGCAAGUCGAACGGCAGCACGGGACUCAGGCAACUGAGCCCUGGUGGCGAGUGGCGAACGGGUGAGUAACAUAUCGGAACGUACCCAGUCGUGGGGGGAUAACUCUCCGAAAGGAGAGCUAAUACCGCAUACGUCCUGAGGGAGAAAGCGGGGGACCUAAGGGUAACUGAGGGCCUCGCGCGAUUGGAGCGGCCGAUAUCGGAUUAGCUAGUUGGUGGGGUAAAGGCGUCACCAAGGCGACGAUCCGUAGCGGGUCUGAGAGGACGACCCGCCACACUGGAACUGAGACACGGUCCAGACUCCUACGGGAGGCAGCAGUGGGGAAUUUGGACAAGUGGGGGCAACCCUGGAUCCAGCCAUUCCGCGUGAGUGAAGAGGUCCUUCGGUUGUAAGCUACUUCAGUCGAGGAACGAACGGUGGUACGUUAAGUACGGUCUACUUAAGUGUACGGUACC